AGCAGUCGCCACGGUAAUACGUAGGGGGCAAGCGUUGUCCGGAAUUAUUGGGCGUAAAGCGCGCGCAGGCGGUCAUGUAAGUCUGGUGUUUAAUCCCGGGGCUCAACCCCGGAUCGCACUGGAAACUGGGUGACUUGAGUGCAGAAGAGGAGAGUGGAAUUCCACGUGUAGCGGUGAAAUGCGUAGAGAUGUGGAGGAACACCAGUGGCGAAGGCGACUCUCUGGGCUGUAACUGACGCUGAGGCGCGAAAGCGUGGGGAGCAAACAGGAUUAGAUACCCCCGUAGUCCCUGUCUCUUAUACA
rnacentral:rRNA from 1 species